rnacentral:rRNA from 1 species
AGCGUACACGGUGGAUGCCCUGGCAGUCAGAGGCGAUGAAGGACGUGCUAAUCUGCGAUAAGCGUCGGUAAGGUGAUAUGAACCGUUAUAACCGGCGAUUUCCGAAUGGGGAAACCCAGUGUGUUUCGACACACUAUCAUUAACUGAAUCCAUAGGUUAAUGAGGCGAACCGGGGGAACUGAAACAUCUAAGUACCCCGAGGAAAAGAAAUCAACCGAGAUUCCCCCAGUAGCGGCGAGCGAACGGGGAGCAGCCCAGAGCCUGAAUCAGUGUGUGUGUUAGUGGAAGCGUCUGGAAAGGCGCGCGAUACAGGGUGACAGCCCCGUACACAAAAAUGCACAUGCUGUGAGCUCGAUGAGUAGGGCGGGACACGUGGUAUCCUGUCUGAAUAUGGGGGGACCAUCCUCCAAGGCUAAAUACUCCUGACUGACCGAUAGUGAACCAGUACCGUGAGGGAAAGGCGAAAAGAACCCCGGCGAGGGGAGUGAAAAAGAACCUGAAACCGUGUACGUACAAGCAGUGGGAGCACGCUUAGGCGUGUGACUGCGUACCUUUUGUAUAAUGGGUCAGCGACUUAUAUUCUGUAGCAAGGUUAACCGAAUAGGGGAGCCGAAGGGAAACCGAGUCUUAACUGGGCGUUAAGUUGCAGGGUAUAGACCCGAAACCCGGUGAUCUAGCCAUGGGCAGGUUGAAGGUUGGGUAACACUAACUGGAGGACCGAACCGACUAAUGUUGAAAAAUUAGCGGAUGACUUGUGGCUGGGGGUGAAAGGCCAAUCAAACCGGGAGAUAGCUGGUUCUCCCCGAAAGCUAUUUAGGUAGCGCCUCGUGAACUCAUCUCCGGGGGUAGAGCACUGUUUCGGCAAGGGGGUCAUCCCGACUUACCAACCCGAUGCAAACUGCGAAUACCGGAGAAUGUUAUCACGGGAGACACACGGCGGGUGCUAACGUCCGUCGUGAAGAGGGAAACAACCCAGACCGCCAGCUAAGGUCCCAAAGUCAUGGUUAAGUGGGAAACGAUGUGGGAAGGCCCAGACAGCCAGGAUGUUGGCUUAGAAGCAGCCAUCAUUUAAAGAAAGCGUAAUAGCUCACUGGUCGAGUCGGCCUGCGCGGAAGAUGUAACGGGGCUAAACCAUGCACCGAAGCUGCGGCAGCGACACUAUGUGUUGUUGGGUAGGGGAGCGUUCUGUAAGCCUGUGAAGGUGUGCUGUGAGGCAUGCUGGAGGUAUCAGAAGUGCGAAUGCUGACAUAAGUAACGAUAAAGCGGGUGAAAAGCCCGCUCGCCGGAAGACCAAGGGUUCCUGUCCAACGUUAAUCGGGGCAGGGUGAGUCGACCCCUAAGGCGAGGCCGAAAGGCGUAGUCGAUGGGAAACAGGUUAAUAUUCCUGUACUUGGUGUUACUGCGAAGGGGGGACGGAGAAGGCUAUGUUGGCCGGGCGACGGUUGUCCCGGUUUAAGCGUGUAGGCUGGUUUUCCAGGCAAAUCCGGAAAAUCAAGGCUGAGGCGUGAUGACGAGGCACUACGGUGCUGAAGCAACAAAUGCCCUGCUUCCAGGAAAAGCCUCUAAGCAUCAGGUAACAUCAAAUCGUACCCCAAACCGACACAGGUGGUCAGGUAGAGAAUACCAAGGCGCUUGAGAGAACUCGGGUGAAGGAACUAGGCAAAAUGGUGCCGUAACUUCGGGAGAAGGCACGCUGAUAUGUAGGUGAAGUCCCUUGCGGAUGGAGCUGAAAUCAGUCGAAGAUACCAGCUGGCUGCAACUGUUUAUUAAAAACACAGCACUGUGCAAACACGAAAGUGGACGUAUACGGUGUGACGCCUGCCCGGUGCCGGAAGGUUAAUUGAUGGGGUCAGCGCAAGCGAAGCUCUUGAUCGAAGCCCCGGUAAACGGCGGCCGUAACUAUAACGGUCCUAAGGUAGCGAAAUUCCUUGUCGGGUAAGUUCCGACCUGCACGAAUGGCGUAAUGAUGGCCAGGCUGUCUCCACCCGAGACUCAGUGAAAUUGAACUCGCUGUGAAGAUGCAGUGUACCCGCGGCAAGACGGAAAGACCCCGUGAACCUUUACUAUAGCUUGACACUGAACAUUGAGCCUUGAUGUGUAGGAUAGGUGGGAGGCUUGGAAGUGUGGACGCCAGUCUGCAUGGAGCCGACCUUGAAAUACCACCCUUUAAUGUUUGAUGUUCUAACGUUGACCCGUAAUCCGGGUUGCGGACAGUGUCUGGUGGGUAGUUUGACUGGGGCGGUCUCCUCCUAAAGAGUAACGGAGGAGCACGAAGGUUGGCUAAUCCUGGUCGGACAUCAGGAGGUUAGUGCAAUGGCAUAAGCCAGCUUGACUGCGAGCGUGACGGCGCGAGCAGGUGCGAAAGCAGGUCAUAGUGAUCCGGUGGUUCUGAAUGGAAGGGCCAUCGCUCAACGGAUAAAAGGUACUCCGGGGAUAACAGGCUGAUACCGCCCAAGAGUUCAUAUCGACGGCGGUGUUUGGCACCUCGAUGUCGGCUCAUCACAUCCUGGGGCUGAAGUAGGUCCCAAGGGUAUGGCUGUUCGCCAUUUAAAGUGGUACGCGAGCUGGGUUUAGAACGUCGUGAGACAGUUCGGUCCCUAUCUGCCGUGGGCGCUGGAGAACUGAGGGGGGCUGCUCCUAGUACGAGAGGACCGGAGUGGACGCAUCACUGGUGUUCGGGUUGUCAUGCCAAUGGCACUGCCCGGUAGCUAAAUGCGGAAGAGAUAAGUGCUGAAAGCAUCUAAGCACGAAACUUGCCCCGAGAUGAGUUCU